rnacentral:rRNA from 1 species
UACGUAGGGGGCUAGCGUUGUCCGGAAUCAUUGGCGUAAAGCGCGUGUAGGCGGCCCGGUAAGUCCGCUGUGAAAGUCCAGGGCUCAACCCUGGGAUGCCGGUGGAUACUGUCGGGCUCGAGUCCGGAAGAGGCGAGUGGAAUUCCUGGUGUAGCGGUGAAAUGCGCAGAUAUCAGGAGGAACACCAAUUGCGAAGGCAGCUCGCUGGGACGUAACUGACGCUGAGACGCGAAAGCGUGGGGAGCAAACAGG